rnacentral:misc_RNA from 1 species
ACCUGUUAAGAAGAAAAAGAUCAAAAGAGAGAUAAAGAUAUUGCAAAAUCUCUGUGGUGGACCAAAUAUUGUCAAACUCCUUGAUAUCGUCAGAGAUCAGCAUUCAAAAACUCCAAGCUUGAUUUUUGAGUACGUGAACAGCACAGAUUUCAAGGUUUUGUACCCAACGCUAACAGACUAUGACAUACGGUACUACAUAUAUGAGCUUCUCAAG